rnacentral:rRNA from 1 species
GGAAUCUUCCACAAUGGACGCAAGUCUGAUGGAGCAACGCCGCGUGAGUGAAGAAGGGUUUCGGCUCGUAAAGCUCUGUUGUUAAAGAAGAACGUGGGUAAGAGUAACUGUUUACCUAGUGACGGUAUUUAACCAGAAAGCCACGGCUAACUACGUGCCAG